CCUACGGGGUGCAGCAGUAGGGAAUCUUUCACAAUGGGCGAAAGCCUGAUGGAGCAACGCCGCGUGCAGGAUGAAGGCCUUCGGGUUGUAAACUGCUUUUAUAAGCGAGAAAUAUGAUGGUAACUUAUGAAUAAGGAUCGGCUAACUACGUGCCAGCAGCCGCGGUCAUACGUAGGAUCCGAGCAUUAUCCGGAGUGACUGGGUGUAAAGAGUUGCGUAGGUGGCAUAAUAAGUAGCUAGUGAAAUCUGGUGGCUCAACCAUUCAGACUAUUAGCGAAACUGUUAAGCUCGAGACCGUUAGGGGUAACUGGAAUUUCUAGUGUAGGAGUGAAAUCCGUAGAUAUUAGAAGGAACACCAAUAGCGUAGGCAGGUUGCUGGGACGGUUCUGACACUAAGGCACGAAAGCGUAGGGAGCAAACGGGAUUAGAUACCCCAGUAGUC
rnacentral:rRNA from 1 species